GUGUCAGCAGCCGCGGUAAGACGAACCGUGCGAACGUUAUUCGGAAUCACUGGGCUUAAAGCGCGUGUAGGCGGAUGAGCACGUCUGUCGCUGAAAUCCCCCGGCUCAACCGGGGAACGGGCGCGGAUACGGCUCGUCUCGAGGGGCGUAGGGGGACCUGGAACUUCCGGUGGAGCGGUGAAAUGCGUUGAGAUCGGAAGGAACGCCCGUGGCGAAAGCGAGGUCCUGGACGCCUACUGACGCUGAGACGCGAAAGCCAGGGGAGCGAACGGGAUUAGAUACCCCGGUAGUCC
rnacentral:rRNA from 1 species